GUUGACCAAUCAUCUCUUUCUCUCUCUCUCUCUCUCUUCACAAUCCCAGUCGGCGUCUUCGCCACAAACCCUCACACACAGUAGCCCACAUCUCCCUCGCAAAAUUCCCAAUCUCUCUCGCUCACCUUCACAUAGAGAGAGGAUUUCUAGACAGAGAAAGAGAAGACACUCAUACAUAUAUAUAUAUAUAGAGAGAGAGAGAGAGAGAGAGUGAUGGAUUCAGAUCAAGGGAAGCUUUUUAUCGGAGGUAUCUCUUGGGAGACAACAGAGGAUGUGUUAAAGGACUAUUUUGGGAACUAUGGUGAGGUUUUUCAGACUGUGGUGAUGAGAGAUAAGCUCAGCGGAAAGCCGAGAGGGUUUGGGUUCGUGGUCUUCACAGAUCCUUCGAUCCUUGAUAGGGUUCUUCAGGACAAGCACGUUAUCGAUGGAAGAACGGUUGAGGCGAAGAGGGCCUUAUCAAGAGAGGAACAGCAGACCUCCAAAGCUGGAAACCCUAAUACUGGUAGAAAUGUAGGUGGUGGUGGAAAUUUCAGGACCAAGAAGAUAUUUGUUGGAGGAUUGCCUCCCACUCUGACUGAGGAUGGGUUUCGUCAGUAUUUUGAAGCCUAUGGUAGUGUCACUGAUGUAGUAGUGAUGUAUGAUCAGAGCACCAACCGACCUCGCGGAUUUGGAUUUAUUUCCUUUGAUACUGAAGAUGCAGUUGAUAGGGUUCUCCACAAGACCUUCCAUGAUUUGAAUGGUAAGCAAGUAGAAGUGAAGCGGGCUCUUCCUAAAGAUGCCAAUCCUGGUGGGGGUGGCCGUUCCAUGGGUGGUGGUACAGGAGGAGGUACUGGCAGUGGAGGUUAUCAGGGUUAUGGUGCUUCUGGUGGCAAUUCAAGUACGUAUGAUAAUCGGAUGGAUUCCAACAGGUACAUGCAGUCCCAAAGUACUGGUGGGAGGUUUCCACCUUAUGGUUCUUCUGGUUAUAGUGCACCUGGAUAUGGGUAUGGUCCUGCCAGUAAUGGCAUUGGUUAUGGUGCUUAUGGUGCUUAUGGUAGUGCCAAUCCUGGGUAUGGUGGCCCUGCUGGUGCAGCCUAUGGAAACCCAAAUGCCCCUAAUGCUGGUUAUGGAAGUGGUCCAUCAGGGGCACCAAGAAGUUCGUGGAGCACUCAGACUCCCUCUGGAUAUGGUAGUGUGGGCUACGGGAAUGCUGCUCCUUGGGGUGCUGCUGCUGGUGGUCCUGGUAGUGGUGGACCUAUUUCAGCGCCUACGGGUCAAUCUCCUGGCGGAGCUGCUGGGUAUGGGAGUCAAGGUUAUGGUUAUGGUGGGUAUGGUGGAAGUGAUGGAUCCUAUGCGAAUCCAGCUGCAUAUGGUGCUGUCGGUGGGCGUGCUGGGAGUACCCCAAAUAGCAGUGCUUCUGCUGGUGGGGGAGAGCUACAAGGGAGUGGUGGGGGCUAUAUGGGAGGUGGCUAUGGUGAUCCCAGUGGGAAUUCAGGGUAUGGAAAUCCAGGAUGGAGAUCUGAUCCUUCAGCAGCUUCUGGGAAUUAUUCAAAUGGGCCUCAUGGUGGGCAAGUUGGAUAUGGUGGUGGGUAUGGUGGUGCUCCGACCAGGCAGGCUCAACAGCAGUGAUUUUGAUGACUUCCCUCCAUCUGGAGCUUAACUUUCUGUUGAUGUUGCGGCCAAUGAUUUUUGCGAUUCUGGUGGGAGAGGGGUGGCUCUUGUAGGAUGUCAUGCAUGCGGUGGGACUGGAGGAGAGAUGCUCGAGUUCUAAAGUGGAGAAGUGUCCACCGUGUCUAAACAUGAGAGCCAUUGUUGGGUGUGUUUAACGUGGAAUGAGAUUUGGACUUGGCUGGGUUGACAUGCAUAAUGCAUUAGCCUGAGAUUGGUCAUGCUGAAGCCAGGCCAUGCUGAUGCUGUCAAACACCGAGAUCACCGCAUUUGAUGUGUGGAAUAUUGCAAGUCUUCAAUCAGGUUUUGGAGGGCUGGUGGAUAUUUUACAGCUGAACAACCUGUGGGGUAUGUCUACCAGAGCAGUUUGACAAAAAAUUUCACUUUAUAGUUUCAAUAUUACCCUAAUAAUUUAGGCAGGAGACUCAGAAUUUUGAGGAUUAGCAAGUGUCUGUUUGAGGUAGUAAAAAAUUGUCACUUUGUUAAAAUUAUUGAGUACAUUCUCGGUAUGAAUGGAAAAAUUGACUUGUGCAUAUUUAUUUUAGUAAUUAGGAUAUGCUACAGGCUUUUGACAACCAUCAGUAGUAGUGUUGCAUGUUUUUUCAUCUUUAGCUCUCUCUUGGUAGUCAAAUGGAAUAUAUGAUAUUUUGUCCAGCUA